CAUCUGGUGACUGUUUCUGAAGAAGGCGGGAGAUUCUCGCCGAAACUGUCAACAAGCAUUCAAGCAGUGGAUGAGUUGGGCAUACAAUCUAACCUGGAAAAGGGAAGAAGGAGAAUAUCCGAAGAGGAACUAUGCAGAGCUGAGCAAAAUUUGCAUCCACCCCAAUUACGUUCACCAGGAUCAGCUCCGACACACCAGGGGUCCAGAACACCAUGAAGCAUAACUAGAUGGGAAACACAAUUGUGAAGCUGACCAUGCAGAAAUGGGACAAGGAACCGACUUGGGGACUGUUUUGUGAGAUUUGCUCUGGUAGAAACUACAAUAUGGAAAUGAUGGAACAGUAGUGAGGACAGGGGCCAAGGAAGUGCUAGUAACCUGUCUGCCCCUGCAACAGUCCCUCUACAUGGCGUAAAUUCACAUGGGACAGGACACCGAAAAUUGGAAACAUCUGGACUUGAAUGGACUGAGAUGAAUGUACACAUUUGUGUUAUUUUUUUCCCCCACUCUCACAUUUACAAAUCAUUAGUUA